rnacentral:rRNA from 1 species
GGGCCCGCACAAGCGGUGGAGCAUAUGGCUUAAUUCGAUGCAACGCGAAGAACCUUACCCAGGCUUGACAUGUAGCUGCAAGCUCCCGAAAAGGAGUCGCCUUCGAGGGUGCUACACAGGUGGUGCAUGGCUGUCGUCAGCUCGUGUUGUGAAAUGUUGGGUUAAGUCCCGCACGAGCGCAACUCUCAUGUUCUGUUGCCAGCGCGUAAUGGCGGGAACUCGGAACAAACUGCCCAUGUAAGUGGGAGGAAGGUGGGAAUGACGUCAAGUCAUCAUGCCCCUUACGCCUGGGGCUGCACAUAUGCUACAAUGGCUGCUACAAACAGUUGCGAUCCCGCGAGGGCUAGCUAAUCUGAAAAAAGCAGUCUCAGUUCGGAUUGGAGUCUGCAACUCGACUCCAUGAAGCUGGAAUCGCUAGUAACCGCAGGUCAGCAUUACUGCGGUGAAUACGUUCCCGGGCCUUGCACACACCGCCCGUCACAUGACGAAAGUUGGUUCUAUCCGAAGUCGCCAGGCUAACCGCAAGGAAGCAAGCGCCGAAGGUAGUAUCGAUGAUUGGCGUGAAGUCGUAACAAGGUA